GGUACAGGAAAACGACAUGGAUGUACAUCUCUAUUCCACUGUUGCUCUACAUAGUCGAGAGAAGCGUACGAGCAUGCCGAUCGAAUCAUUACGCGGUUCGAAUAUUGAAGGUUUCGGCACUGCCAGGGAAUGUCUGUAGCAUAAUCAUGUCCAAGC